UAGAAACAAAAACUAAAAAUAAAAAUAGAAAUAAAAUAGAAAAAAGAGAAAUAAAAUAGAAACAAUAAUAAAAAUUGAAAUAAAAUUGGAAAUAAAAAAUCCAUAGCAAAUAAAAUGCAUUGCAAUUAAAACUACAGUUUACAUUUACUUGGUAAUAUUUAGAUAUGCAACUAAUGUAGUUAAACAUUAAUGAAAUUUAACGAAACACGCACAAAUAAAUUAUAAAUAGUGGUAUUUACAACAACAGAAAAGUAAAAUAAAAUAUAAAAAAAAUAAGUAACGACAAAAAAAAAAAAUUACUUAAAAAAUAAAAAUUCAUUGAUUUGAAAAAUUCAUUGAUAUUUCAAAUUCAUAAGAGCCAAUAGUUAUAUAAAAGAUUUAGCAAAACAUUUAUAAAAAAUAAUAAUUUAAAAAUAAUAGUAAUAAAUGAUAAACAAAGAAAAACCAAAAUGUUAAGCAAAACGUAAAAAAAAAAAUUAUUAUUAAAAAAAACAUUAUCAAAAAGAGAUAUCAUGUUGAAAAAUUAGAAAAAACAAAUAAAUUUUUGCUCAAAAAUUUAAAGUUCAAAGAUUGCGCUUUGAAACAAAAAACAAAUAAAAAUAUGCUUACGUGAAUUAUGCGAUUCAGCAAAAAAGCUGAAAUAAAAUAAAUGAAGUUGCAGUGAAUCGCAAAAAAAUAAACCCGAAAAAGCUGCAAAUAAAAAUUAAAAAUUAAAAAAUAAAUUAAAAAUAAAAAAUUAAAAAUUUAACAACAGUGCACAUCAUUAAUUAAAAACUAUUCCAAAUCGAAAGCAAUCGCUGCUAUUAAUUCUCCUAAAAAAAACAAAAAAAAAACCCGCUCGCCUUUUCCGUAAUUACGCGUCUCCUUCACCUUCGUUGUCGUCUCCGUCUUCGUCUUCGUGGUCGCCGUCAAAAUGCGUGUAAUCGUGUUAAAGAAAAAUCGCAGCAAUAAGCGCGGCACACCAACAACCGCACCGGCCACACGUGAGCUACCCAAAAAGUCACUCGCCAAAGUAAGUGAACAGUGUUUUUCUUGUUGUUGGAGAAGCAGCAAAUUUGCUUGUAGACGAAACGACUGAAGUUAGCGAGUAGAAGAAUGUAACCGAAUAUAUUAGCACUGGCAGUCCACAAAGAGCGGAGAGUGAACAGCAGUUUUUUAGUACAAAGGCCUGAAAAUAUCGUGCAAUAUACUCUCUCACACACACACAUGCACACAUACAUAUAAGGCGCCCAUAAUAGGUAUUUCGAUAUGUAUAAAUAUAUAAUGCACACACAAAUGUUUGCAUACCUACGGUAAGCUGGAGCAAAACACAUUCAAGUGUACGCAUAUUCAACGCCUUAAAGUAUGCAAAGGAAGCUUAUUAAGCAUUUAGUAGCAAAAAAAAAAACAAAACCAAAAAAAGAAGAAAAUUACCGGCGUGUGAGUUUGUGUCGAGUUGAAGGCCCUGACACACCUGACGACCGGUAAUCCACACCGAGCUGUAUGCCAAAAAAAUGAAAAAAAAUGGAAAAAUAAAAAAGGUACCCCCCUGAAGUGACACAAUAGCCAGUCAGGUAAUGACAGCCUGCUUGUUGUUGCUGCUGUGCGUUCUACGUUGCGUGUUAAUGUUGGGUUGUUGCAAGAUUACGUAGCACUCGUGGGAUUUUCCAAAUACUUGUUUAUCGGUUCGUAAUUUUUUUGGUAAGCCCACAUAAAUGCAAAGUACAAUAUUUCUGCCACGGGCUUACCUUUCUUCGGUCGCUCCCUCUUUGCGCUUGCCUUCUUCUUUUGCCGCUUUGCUGCUGCCUAUUAUUGUGAUACAAUGCGGCAUGACAACGGCAUUUGUUUAUCACUUAGUCAUACAUGGCUGCCCGCCCAGUCCGCACUUCUUCAUUGUUUGGGAAACCAGGAGUUCGGUUAUUUCCAUAUUCUGUGUUGCUGUAUGAGUGUGUGUGCGUGUGUGUGUGUGUGCGUGUAUGUUUGAUAAUUUUUGUGAUUUCCCAGUUGGUUACAUUAGAUACAAAUUUAUUUUACAUUUACUUUAUUUGCCAUGUUGAUGGGAGUUCUUUGCAGCGGUAUUAGUGUGCACUCACACUGGCACUUACUGAUUGGACCUGCAAUGAACCAUUAAUUUUAAGGAUUUUAAUUGUCCUACUGCUACGUAAUAUCCUCACAUGUACAUGGCUUGUGUAUGUGUAUGCGUGUAAAUAUAUUGUAAUGAAAUAAGUCGAAUGCGAUUUUGCCUGGCGUGAUUGAUUAAUGAAGGGCUCUCGGUUAAGCGCGAUGAUGGCUUGAGUGGCUGGCCAGCAGGAGCCAAUUUACGCAAUUAAUAUGUCAAAUGAAAGUGAGCCAAUGAUUACGAUGUUACGAUAAAUAGUAGUGGGGUACAAAAUUUUACAAGCGGAAUUAAUAUUGACAAGGGUCCGCUGGAGCGUAAAUGAAACGAAAUAACAAAACAAAAACUGGUGCCUGACGUAGCUUAAAAACCGGAAAAGCUAGCGAUGAUUUAUUUAGUUGGCAAUGCGUUGCACAAGUUGUCUGUUGCAGGCUUCAAUUUCAAAAGCGUUACUUAGCGUGGAUUUCUGCUAUGAAAACGCUUCUUCAAAAAAAAAAAAAAAAAAAAAAGAUGUCUCUUGCUAGGGGC